CGUGUAGGCGGUCAGGUAAGUGGGACGUGAAAUGCCUCGGCUCACCCGAGGAGCUGCGUCCCAAACUGCUUGGCUUGAGUAUGGGAGAGGAUGUGGGAAUUCCUGGUGUAGCGGUGAAAUGCGUAGAUAUCAGGAGGAACACCGGUGGCGAAGGCGCACAUCUGGCCCAAUACUGACGCUGAGGCGCGAAAGCUAGGGGAGCAAACG
rnacentral:rRNA from 1 species